rfam:Spinacia oleracea cultivar SynViroflay scaffold89030.con0009.1, whole genome shotgun sequence.
AGAAAGUGGAGCAGCAACCAUUUAAAAACGGGCGAACCGAAAAGCCAGAUGAGUAGGAUCAGA